rnacentral:rRNA from 1 species
AUGAACGCUGGCGGCGUGCCUAACACCUGCAAGUCGAACGGAGUCCAGCCUUUAAGACCUUCGGGUCAAAGAGGGGAAGACUGAGUGGCGGACGGGUGAGUAACACGUGGGCAACCUGGCUCAUAGAGGGGGAUAACAGAGAGAAAUUUCUGCUAAUACCGCAUAAGCACACACUGCCGCAUGGCAGAGGGUGAAAAGAGAAUCGCUAUGAGAUGGACCCGCGUCUGAUUAGCCAGUUGGCAGGGUAAGAGCCUACCAAAGCGACGAUCAGUAGCCGAUCUGAGAGGAUGAACGGCCACAUUGGGACUGAGACACGGCCCAAACUCCUACGGGAGGCAGCAGUGGGGGAUAUUGCACAAUGGGGGGAACCCUGAUGCAGCGACGCCGCGUGAGUGAAGAAGUAUUUCGGUAUGUAAAGCUCUAUCAGCAGGGAAGAUAAUGACAGUACCUGAAUAAGAAGCCCCGGCUAACUACGUG